rnacentral:rRNA from 1 species
GUUUACUUGAAAAAAUAAGUAAUUUGACCUGCCCACUGAUGUUUUAAAGGGCCGCGGUAUCUGAACCGUGCUAAGGUAGCAUAAUCAAUAGUCUUUUAAUUGAAGUCUAGAAUGAAUGGUUUGACGAGAAAUUAACUGUUUCAAGCGUAUAAUCGAAUUUUACCUUUGAGUGAAAAGGCUCAAAUAAAGUAGUGGGACGAUAAGACCCUAUGAAGCUUAUACAUAGUUUGGUUGAUAAACUUUAAUAUAAAAGUGAUUGGGUUUCAUACGAAUCUUUGUUUUGCUGGGGCGGCAGGGAUAAAUAAUUAACUGUCCAUUAAUUAAAAAUAAUUUUGUUUAGUAAGUUGAUCUUCUAAUAGGGAUUAUAAAAUUUAAGUUACUCUAGGGAUAACAGCGUAAUUCUUUUUGAGAGUUCUUAUCGACAAAAGUAGUUGCGACCUCGAUGUUGAAUUAAAAUUUCUCCAAGGUGUAGCAGCUUUGGUAGUAGGUCUGUUCGACCUUUAAAAUUUUACAUGAUUUGAGUUCAAACCGGCGUGAGCAGGUGGUUUCUAUUAUAUAAAA